GUGAAUCAUCGAAUUUUUGAACGCAAAUUGCACUUUCUGGGAUUCCGGUAAGUAUGCCUGUUUGAGGUUCAGUUAAAUAAAAAUCGGGGUUGUUGCUGCCUUUCGUGGUGACGCGUCGGAAUUUGUUCGUCUUACCUUCGGGUAAGUGACUUAAAAUGUUUGCAUGAUUUUCUUACGUAUUUAAAUCGCUUACGUACGUUUUAUAUAUCGAAUUCAUAUUAGGUUCGGUCAUUCCCAUGAUUCUCGCCUAUAAUUUUUCAUUAAAUGACCUCAAAUCAGGUAAGAUUACCC
rnacentral:misc_RNA from 1 species